rnacentral:rRNA from 1 species
ACGGAAGGCAGCAGUGAGGAAUAUUGGUCAAUGGGCGGAAGCCUGAACCAGCCAAGUCGCGUGAAGGAUGAAGGUAUUAUGUAUUGUAAACUUCUUUAGUCGCAGGGAAAUAAGGCGGACGAGUCCGCUGAUGCUAGUAUGCGAAGAAUAAGGAUCGGCUAACUCCGUGCCAGCAGCCGCGGUAAUACGGAGGAUCCGAGCGUUAUCCGGAUUUAUUGGGUUUAAAGGGUGCGCAGGCGGUCUUUUAAGUCAGUGGUCAAAGCGUGGGGCUCAACCCCAUCCCGCCAUUGAUACUGGAGGACUUGAUUGCGGUCGAGGUUGGCGGAAUUCGUCGUGUAGCGGUGAAAUGCAUAGAUAUGACGAAGAACACCGAUUGCGUAGGCAGCUGACCAGGCCGUAAAUGACGCUCAUGCACGAAAGUGCGGGGAUCGAACAGGAUUAGAUACCCUGGUA